AACAAAAGUGGAACAUAUAAAAAUACAAAGAAUAUUUUAUACUGCAUUAAAUAAAUAAAUAUAAUAUCUUAGAACAAAAGUCAGACUAACACAUUUUUCAUUUGCAAUAAAAAACUGGAUACUGCUGAUUUCAUAUAAAUAUAUGAACAUACACUCCCUCCGUAAAGUUUUUAUAAGAGCGUUUAGAAUCCACGUUCAUUUAUCGUCACAUAUACUUAUAUUUCGGAACAAAGGUAAUAGAAACUUCGUCCGUUUUCAAUUUUGCCUCACUCGCUUCACUCACUCGUUCCGCACUGUCUCGUCCAAAUCCCUAGCUCGCCUCACUCCGCUGCUCGCGUCGCUGCCGCUCGCCUCUCUUGCUCGCGUCGCCGCCGCCAUCUCGCCCGCGUCGACGUCGACGCUCGCCUCCACCCCACACGCGUCGCCGCCGCCGCCUUCCUGUGACGUCUUCGCCGCUCCCUCUCACCCGCGUCGCCUGCACCAGCGAGGUCGCCACAAGAUUGUUUUUGUUACCAAAGCGGAGGCGAGGAGCAGCUGGUGAGUUGUACCCAUGGCUGCAUCUGAAGUGUCUGGACGUCCCCGCGAUGAGGAUGAGUGGGAGGAGCAAGAGCACAUCUGAAGAUGGUGAGGAGUGGAGGCGGCGGUUCUGAAUUUGAAGAUGGUGCUGUGAGGAGUAGCGGGAGGAGCAGUCGCCGACGGCCUGGCUGCAUGGGGUACGCCCUCCCCUUCGUCUCCUACGGCAUCGUGGACAUCCUGCUCGACGACGUACAUCUGCUCGAGGAUAUCCUGCUCGACGAUGCUCCUCUUCGCCAGCAUCUCUAGCGCGUGACUGAUACAGAAGCAAAGUGUUUCAAGGCACAUAGGUCCAGUGAUGAGAGUGGUAGUUUCAGAAAAGAUACUGAAGCUAAUUCAAGAAAUACUACUAAGGCUGUUGGUCAAAAUCCCCCACCACCAAAGCAAGGUUUCAUCCAUGUGAGGGCAAGAAGGGGUCAAGCAACUGACAGCCAUAGCCUUGCAGAAACGGCAGAUGAAGGCCGUCGAAGAUCACAAGCGCAGCUUGCUAUUGUACAGGUUUAGAAUUUAGAAAGGUGACCUAUUUUUUCAUGUGAACUUACCUAUUCUUUGCUAUUCAGAAUGAUUAUUUAUCUUCCCAUUGCUGUGUUAAUUGAUUCGUAUGCGGUUCUGCUAUUCUGACAAGGAUAUCCAUCAAGGUUAUUUGGAGGGACAUAAUGAAACGUCACAAGUUCUACUUUGCUGAUUCUUUCAGAGAAUUGUUUCAUUACUAAUGCGCUGUCGCGGACAUGUAUUAAUCCCAAAUUCCAAAUCACUCUGGAAUCCAGUCAAAAUCCAGUCAAAAUCACUCUGGAAUCCUUCUCCGUAAUUGAUUCGCAAACUACUCUCAAGGACUGCUCUGAACCUCAAAUAUCGUGGGCACAUGAAGUUGUGGUGUAAUUUUUACAGAAACAAGUGAUCCAGGCAGCAAGGUAUUGAUUGAUGCAACUAUGUUGUAAUGUUUCAGUGACUGUUAAUAUUUUUUUACGAAGGAUAACCAAUUCAGAUGAUACCCAAGGAGUUCUGGAUGGGAGAUUGUUUA